GGUGAACGCUGGCGGUAGGCCUAACACAUGCAAGUCGAACGGCAGCACAGUAAGAGCUUGCUCUUACGGGUGGCGAGUGGCGGACGGGUGAGGAAUACAUCGGAAUCUACUUUUUCGUGGGGGAUAACGUAGGGAAACUUACGCUAAUACCGCAUACGACCUACGGGUGAAAGCAGGGGAUCUUCGGACCUUGCGCGAUUGAAUGAGCCGAUGUCGGAUUAGCUAGUUGGCGGGGUAAAGGCCCACCAAGGCGACGAUCCGUAGCUGGUCUGAGAGGAUGAUCAGCCACACUGGAACUGAGACACGGUCCAGACUCCUACGGGAGGCAGCAGUGGGGAAUAUUGGACAAUGGGCGCAAGCCUGAUCCAGCCAUACCGCGUGGGUGAAGAAGGCCUUCGGGUUGUAAAGCCCUUUUGUUGAGAAAGAAAAGCAGCAGGUUAAUACCCCGCUGUUCUGACGGUACCCAAAGAAUAAGCACCGGCUAACUUCGUG
rnacentral:rRNA from 1 species